CCUACGGGCGGCAGCAGUGAGGAAUAUUGGUCAAUGGGCGGGAGCCUGAACCAGCCAAGUAGCGUGAGGGCAGACGGUCCUAUGGAUUGUAAACCUCUUUUGGCGGGGAGCAAUGCCGUGCACGCGUGCCCGGAGGUAGAGUACCCGCAGAAUAAGCAUCGGCUAACUCCGUACCAGCAGCCGCGGUAAUACGGAGGAUGCGAGCGUUAUCCGGAUUUAGUGGGUUUAAAGGGUGCGUAGGCGGAUUUUUAAGUCAGCGGUAAAAUGUCCGGGCUCAACCCGGGCCGGCCGUUGAAACUGGAGAUCUGGAGUGGGCGAGAAGGAGGCGGAAUGCGUGGUGUAGCGGUGAAAUGCAUAG
rnacentral:rRNA from 1 species